AUUGCCCCGCGGCGUCCUCGCUCAUCUCCUCGCUCACCUCGAACCUGUCACCUCUCGCUCUGUCGAGUACAUUUCUGAGCCUGGGGGCGACCCUGGUCCCCCGCCAGGGGGCAAAGGCAAGGUGGUAUAGUCAAGCCUGGUUUUAGAGAAAUUUAAAGAGUACCUAAAAAUAAUCCUGUAAGCAACUCUCAAGAAAUCAAGGAAGAGCAAUAAAAUAAUCACUGAAAGUGCUUUUCAUUGAGACCAGAUAUAGCUCUUUGUAUGGAAAGUGGAGUUUUAAGGAAGCAGAAGAAACAUUUGAAAGGAUAUUUGGUGACCCAAAUUCUCCUACGGCAUGGCUUUGGGAACAGGACAAGAAUUUGAUAUCUGGUGUGAGGAAGUAUGGAGAAGGAAGCUGGGAUAAAAUACUAUCACGUUAUAAGUUCAACAACCGAACAAGUGUCAUCUUAAAAGACAGAUGGAGAACUAUGAAGAAACUAAAGCUGAUCUGCUCAGACAAUGAAGACUAAACAUGUUUGUCAGAGAUUAAUGAAAAAGAUAUUAAAAUACUUUUGACUACUACAUGUUCUUUAA